UACGGGGGGGGCAAGCGUUGUUCGGAAUUACUGGGCGUAAAGGGCUCGUAGGUGGCCAACUAAGUCAGACGUGAAAUCCCUCGGCUUAACCGGGGAACUGCGUCUGAUACUGGAUGGCUUGAGUUCGGGAGAGGGAUGCGGAAUUCCAGGUGUAGCGGUGAAAUGCGUAGAUAUCUGGAAGAACACCCGUGGCGAAGGCGGCUCUCUGGGACGGUACUGACGCUGAGACGCGAAAGCGUGGGGAGCGAACAGG
rnacentral:rRNA from 1 species